rnacentral:tRNA from 1 species
AGGGGCAUAGCUCAGGGGUAGAGCACAUGCUUAGUGUGCACGAGGUCCUGGGUUCAAUUCCUAGUACCUCUG